rnacentral:rRNA from 1 species
UACGGGGGGAGCAAGCGUUGUUCGGAUUUACUGGGCGUAAAGGGCGCGUAGGCGGCGUGACAAGUCACUUGUGAAAUCUCCGGGCUUAACUCGGAGCGGCCAAGUGAUACUGUCGUGCUAGAGUGCGGAAGGGGCUACUGGAAUUCUCGGUGUAGCGGUGAAAUGCGUAGAUAUCGAGAGGAACACCUGCGGCGAAGGCGGGUAGCUGGGCCGAACACUGACGUGGAGGCGCGAAAGCUAGGGGAGCGAACAGG